UACGUAGGGUGCAAGCGUUGUCCGGAAUUAUUGGGCGUAAAGAGCUCGUAGGCGGUCUGUCGCGUCUGCUGUGAAAACUCAGGGCUUAACCCUGAGCUUGCAGUGGGUACGGGCAGACUAGAGUGCGGUAGGGGAGACUGGAAUUCCUGGUGUAGCGGUGAAAUGCGCAGAGUAUCAGGAGGAACACCGGUGGCGAAGGCGGGUCUCUGGGCCGUAACUGGACGCU
rnacentral:rRNA from 1 species